ensembl:snRNA U6 U6 spliceosomal RNA
GUGCUUGCUUCGGAGGCAUAUAUACUAAAAUUGGAACAAUACAGAGAAGAUAAGCAUGGCCCCUGUGCAAGGAUGACACACAAAUUCAUGAAACAUUCCAUAUUUUU